rnacentral:sRNA from 1 species
GGGAACCGAACCGCCGCGCCUCGCCCAGGACAGGUACACUUAGAGGCCUUGGCGGGGCGGUGAUUGUCCAAAAGUUCUGGUGGGCCUGUGCAUUGUUGGCUGUGUGAUGGAUGAGAAUUGUCAAGCUGGAGAAAAAUGUUGCAAGUCAGGCUGUGGCCGCUUCUGUGUCCCACCAGUCCUGCCCCCAAAACUGACCACGAACCCCAACUGGACUGUGAGGUCUGAUUCUGAAUUAGAGAUCCCGGUGCCCUAGCUGUGCUGAUUUGUCUGGAGCUUCUUUGGUAAUUCUGGAAGCUUUUCCUGGCAGUCAAGAGGGUGACAUCCUGGGGCUUGUGACAUUUCCAGGGGCACUCAUGGCCCUCUCUGCUCUGCUUCUCCUCCUGCCACUGACCAGAGCAUGGGAAAUAGCCCUGGAUUGGGCAGUGGGUGUGUGGUGCUUCUCUUUCCCAAUAAAGGCUGGUGCUGA